rnacentral:rRNA from 1 species
AUGGAUCAGUCAAAUUUUAUGAUGGCUCUGCUGAUUCCAGGUCCCAAAUCACCUGGCAAGCACUUUGAUGUCUUUCUACAACCACUUGGAGAAGAAUUACUUGAGCUCUGGGAGGGUGUGCGUACAUAUGAUGCUCUUAGUGGAAAAAUGUUUGAUCGUCAUGCUGCAGUUCUAUGGUGCAUUCACGAUUACCCAGCUCUGAGCACUCUUUCAGGGCGUACCACAAGAGGCUAUUUUGCAUGUAUUCAUUGUGACAAACACCCUCUUUCUUAUAUCCUAAGGAGUAAAAUUGGGUAUAUUGGUCACUAUCGUUUCCUUCCAAGGGGUCAUCGUUUGCGGAGAAACAAUGAAUUUGUUGGUCUUCAUGAAAGCAAUGAUGAGCCAGGUAAAUUCUCUGAGAAAGUGUUGCAAGCAGAAUUGGAGAAUGUUAGACCUGGGAGACAACAAGAAAGUAGGAAAAGGAAGCGUUUUGACUUGGGCAGCAAGAAGGAUCAUGUGCCAAUUUCGGGCCGGAGGGUUUGUUUGUGGGAUUUGAAGUAUUGGGCAAAGUUGAAGCUGAGACACAAUCUUGAUGUCAUGCAUAUUGAGAAAAACAUUUGUGAAAAACUCAUUGGGACAAUUCUGAAUCUCGAGGGUAAGACAAAGGACACACUUAAUGCUAGGAUUGAUCUCAAAGAUUUGAAUAUUAAAGAGGAGUUGCAAUUGAGGAAGGAGGGAGACUCAUAUGUGAUGCCUCGGGCCCGAUAUACCUUGUCCAAAGAAUAA